GACGAACGCUGGCGGCGUGCUUAACACAUGCAAGUCGAACGGUGACGAGGAGCUUGCUCCUCUGAUCAGUGGCGAACGGGUGAGUAACACGUGAGCAACCUGCCCCAGACUCUGGGAUAACAGUUGGAAACAGCUGCUAAUACCGGAUACGAGGCGGAGAGGCAUCUCUACCGUCUGGAAAGUUUUCGGUCUGGGAUGGACUCGCGGCCUAUCAGCUAGUUGGUGAGGUAAUGGCUCACCAAGGCGACGACGGGUAGCCGGCCUGAGAGGGCGACCGGCCACACUGGGACUGAGACACGGCCCAGACUCCUACGGGAGGCAGCAGUUGGGAAUCUUGGGCAAUGGGCGAAAGCCUGACCCAGCGACGCCGCGUGAGGGAAGAAGGCCUUCGGGUCGUAAACCUCUGUCAUGGGGGAAGAAGCAAGUGACGGUACCCCAAGAGGAAGCCCCUGCUAACUACGUG
rnacentral:rRNA from 1 species